rnacentral:misc_RNA from 1 species
UGUAGGAGCUGGCUUGCCUGCGAUGGUAUCGGCUCGGUGUGUCAGGUGUACCGAGGUGAUGCCAUCGCAGGCAAGCCAGCUCCCACA